CCUACGGGCGGCAGCAGUGGGGAAUAUUGGACAAUGGGGGGAACCCUGAUCCAGCCAUGCCGCGUGUGUGAAGAAGGCCCUCGGGUUGUAAAGCACUUUCAGUGAGGAAGAACGCCUGGUGGUUAAUACCCAUCAGGAAAGACAUCACUCACAGAAGAAGCACCGGCUAACUCCGUGCCAGCAGCCGCGGUAAUACGGAGGGUGCGAGCAUUAAUCGGAAUUACUGGGCGUAAAGCGCGCGUAGGUGGCUUGAUAAGCCGGUUGUGAAAGCCCCGGGCUCAACCUGGGAACGGCAUCCGGAACUGUCAAGCUAGAGUGCAGGAGAGGAAGGUAGAAUUCCCGGUGUAGCGGUGAAAUGCGUAGAGAUCGGGAGGAAUACCAGUGGCGAAGGCGGCCUUCUGGACUGACACUGACACUGAGGUGCGAAAGCGUGGGUAGCAAACAGGAUUAGAUACCCGUGUAGUC
rnacentral:rRNA from 1 species